rnacentral:rRNA from 1 species
CACGUAGAGCGCAAGCGUUGUCCGGAAUUAUUGGGCGUAAAGAGCUCGUAGGCGGUCUGUUGCGUCUGCUGUGAAAACCCGGGGCUUAACCCCUGGCUUGCAGUGGAUACGGACAGACUAGAGGUAGGUAGGGGAGAAUGGAAUUCCCGGUGUAGCGGUGAAAUGCGCAGAUAUCGGGAGGAACACCGGUGGCGAAGGCGGUUCUCUGGGCCUUACCUGACGCUGAGGAGCGAAAGCGUGGGGAGCGAACAGG